UAUAAGUUCCUCCCUAGGGGAGAAUGAUUCUAUAUUGUCGGUUUGGCUGCCAUCAUGUGGGCCACUUGGCUUGCUCGUAAUCGAGCGACUUUUGAGCACAUACUAACUAAGACUCGUUUUGAAAUUGUCUUUUCCGCUUGUUCUCUUCUCAUGUGUUGGGUAGGUCUUCAAAAGGAGGGCGACGUGAAGCUACUGAGAGAGGAGCUGAUCUACUUCGCGCCAACAAGAUGA
rnacentral:rRNA from 1 species